AACGUAGGAGACAAACGUUAUCCGGAGUUACUGGGCGUAAAGGGCGUGUAGGCGGUUAGUUAAGUCUGGCGUGAAAGCUCUCGGCUAAACCGGGAGAGGUCGUCGGAUACUGGCAAACUAGAGGACGGUAGAGGCGUGUGGAAUUUCCGGUGUAGCGGUGAAAUGCGUAGAUAUCGGAAGGAACAUCAGUGGCGAAAGCGACUUCCUGGACCAAUACUGACGCUCAUGUGCGAAAGCGUGGGGAGCAAACAGG
rnacentral:rRNA from 1 species